rfam:Canis lupus familiaris chromosome 2, whole genome shotgun sequence.
GCCUGAGUGGCUCAGUGGUUGAGCCUCUGCCUUCAGCUCAGGUCAUGAUCCCAGAGUCCUGGGAUCGAGUCCCACAUCAGGCU